GAUGAACGCUGGCGGUAUGCCUAAUACAUGCAAGUCGUGCGGAAAGGCCUCUUCGGAGGUACUCGAGCGGCGGACGGCAGAGUAACGCGUAGGAACAUACCCCAAACUGAGGGAUAACUGCUCGAAAGAGUAGCUAAUACCGCAUGUGGUCUUCGGACUAAAGCUUCGGCGGUUUGGGAAUGGCCUGCGUUCGAUUAGCUAGUUGGUGAGGUAAUUGCUCACCAAGGCGACGAUCGAUAGCUGGUCUGAGAGGAUGAUCAGCCUGACUGGAACUGAGACACGGUCCAGACUCCUACGGGAGGCAGCAGUAGGGAAUUUUCCACAAUGGGCGAAAGCCUGAUGGAGCAAUACCGCGUGCAGGAUGAAGGCCUUCGGGUCGUAAACUGCUUUAUGUGUGAAGAAUUUGACGGUAACACAUGAAUAAGGGUCGGCGUAACUACGUGCCAGCAGCCGCGGUAAU
rnacentral:rRNA from 1 species